GGUAAGGUGGCUGAGAAUAGGCAAUAAACUGUAAAUUUAUUUAUGAAUCAAAAUUCUCUUACCA
rnacentral:tRNA from 1 species